rnacentral:rRNA from 1 species
AUUGAACGCUAGCGGCAUGCUUUACACAUGCAAGUCGAACGAGUGGCGGACGGGUGAGUAAUAUAUCGGAACGUGCCCAGUCGCGGGGGAUAACUACUCGAAAGAGUGGCUAAUCCCGCAUACUAUUGGAACGGCCGAUAUCGGAUUAGCUAGUUGGUGGGGUAAAGGCUCACCAAGGCAACGAUCCGUAGCUGGUUUGAGAGGACGACCAGCCAAACUGGGACUGAGACAAGGCCCAGACUCCUACGGGAGGCAGCAGUAGGGAAUAUGGGACAAUGGGGGAAACCCUGAUCAAGCCAUGCCGCGUGUAUGAGAAGGCCUUCGGGUUGUAAAGUACUUUUGGCAGAGAAGCGGUAUCUGCAGAAUAAGCACAGGCUAACUACGUGCCAGCAGCCGCGGUAAUUC